GACGAACCGUGCAAACGUUAUUCGGAAUCACUGGGCAUAAAGGGCGCGUAGGCGGCUCGAAAAGUCAGGGGUGAAAUCCGGCAGCUUAACUGUCGCAGUGCCUUUGAUACUGUCGAGCUCGAGGGAGGUAGGGGGCUGUGGAACUUCCGGUGGAGCGGUGAAAUGCGUUGAUAUCGGAAGGAACGCCGGUGGCGAAAGCGACGGACUGGAUCUCUUCUGACGCUGAGGCGCGAAAGCCAGGGGAGCAAACGGG
rnacentral:rRNA from 1 species